UACGUAGGGUGCAAGCGUUGUCCGGAAUUAUUGGGCGUAAAGCGCGUGUAGGCGGCUUAGCAAGUCGGGCGUGAAAGCCCUCGGCUCAACCGAGGAAGUGCACCCGAAACUGCUGAGCUUGAGUGCCGGAGAGGAUGGCGGAAUUCCCCAAGUAGAGGUGAAAUUCGUAGAUAUGGGGAGGAACACCGGUGGCGAAGGCGGCCAUCUGGACGGUAACUGACGCUGAGACGCGAAAGCGUGGGGAGCAAACAGG
rnacentral:rRNA from 1 species